AUUGAACGCUGGCGGCAUGCCUUACACAUGCAAGUCGAACGGCAGCACGGGUGCUUGCACCUGGUGGCGAGUGGCGAACGGGUGAGUAAUACAUCGGAACGUACCUUAUCGUGGGGGAUAACGCAGCGAAAGCUGUGCUAAUACCGCAUACGCCCUGAGGGGGAAAGCGGGGGAUCGAAAGACCUCGCGCGAUUAGAGCGGCCGAUGCCUGAUUAGCUUGUUGGUGGGGUAAAAGCCCACCAAGGCGACGAUCAGUAGCUGGUCGGAGAGGACGAGCAGCCACACUGGGACUGAGACACGGCCCAGACUCCUACGGGAGGCAGCAGUGGGGAAUUUUGGACAAUGGGGGCAACCCUGAUCCAGCAAUGCCGCGUGAGUGAGGAAGGCCUUCGGGCUGUAAAGCUCUUUUGUCAGGGAAGAAACACCGGCUCUAACACAGUCCGGGAAUGACGGUACCUGAAGAAUAAGCACCGGCUAACUACGUGCCAGCCGCCGCCGUAA
rnacentral:rRNA from 1 species